rnacentral:rRNA from 1 species
AUACGGAGGGUGCGAGCGUUAAUCGGAAUUACUGGGCGUAAAGCGUACGUAGGCGGUGAGUUAAGUUAGAUGUGAAAGCCCCGGGCUCAACCUGGGAACUGCAUUUAAAACUGGCUCACUAGAGUUGAGUAGAGGGGAGUGGAAUUUCAGGUGUAGCGGUGAAAUGCGUAGAGAUCUGAAGGAACACCAGUGGCGAAGGCGACUCCCUGGACUCGAACUGACGCUGAGGUACGAAAGCGUGGGUAGCAAACGGGAUUAGAAACCCGAGUAGUCC